CGUGAGGGAGACGGCCCCGGGUUGUAAACCUCUUUUAGUAGGGAAGAAGCGAAAGUGACGGUACCUGCAGAAAAAGCACCGGCUAACUACGUGCCAGCAGCCGCGGUAAUACGUAGGGUGCAAGCGUUGUCCGGAAUUAUUGGGCGUAAAGAGCUCGUAGGCGGUUUGUCGCGUCUGCUGUGAAAUCCCGAGGCUCAACCUCGGGCUUGCAGUGGGUACGGGCAGACUAGAGUGCGGUAGGGGAGAUUGGAAUUCCUGGUGUAGCGGUGGAAUGCGCAGAUAUCAGGAGGAACACCGAUGGCGAAGGCAGAUCUCUGGGCCGUAACUGACGCUGAGGAGCGAAAGCAUGGGGAGCGAACAGGAUUAGAUACCCUGGUAGUCCAUGCCGUAAACGUUGGGCGCUAGAUGUAGGGACCUUUCCACGGUUUCUGUGUCGUAGCUAACGCAUUAAGCGCCCCGCCUGGGGAGUACGGCCGCAAGGCUAAAACUCAAAGGAAUUGACGGGGGCCCGCACAAGCGGCGGAGCAUGCGGAUUAAUUCGAUGCAACGCGAAGAACCUUACCAAGGCUUGACAUACACCGGAACGGCCAGAGAUGGUCGCCCCCUUGUGGUCGG
rnacentral:rRNA from 1 species